CGGUGUUCACAGCACCCUGGGAGUUUUGGUCCGGACCGCGGUGCCUUGCUGCUCGCAGGCGUAUCCCCUCUCCUCCCCGCCAGUGCGCAGGCGCAACCCACCCCUCCCGGGCCCCACCCGCAGGCACACACAGCCCAGCGGCUAGGUGCCGACACCCGCCCACGGGGACCGCGCCGCACAUAGACAAAAGAGGAAGAGGCAACUUAAGAACGAAUGUACAAGAUGCAGUAAAAAUGAAUUGCUUGGGCUUCCCUGGUGGCGCAGUGGUUAAGAAUACACCUGCCAAUGCAGGGGACACGGGUUUGAGCCCUGGUCCAGGAAGAUCCCACAUGCCGCGGAGCAACUAAGCCCAUGCGCCCCAACUACUGAGCCUGUGCUCUAGAGCCCCUGAGCCACAACUACCAAAGCCCAUGAGCCUAGAGCCUGUGCUCUACAACAAAAGAAGCCACUGCAAUGAGAAGCCCACACAUGGCAACGAAGAGCAGCCCCUGCUCGCCGCAACUAGAGAAAGCCCGCGUGCAGCAACGAAGACCCAACACAGCCAAAAAUAAAUAAAUAAAAAUUU